ACAAGGAAGAAUUUGAGAAAUGCUGUUGUCAGCUAUAAUAAUGCUGUGGAUUGAUAGUCAGUUUUAUUGUGUGCAGGGCAGGGACAUUCUACAAUGAAUAAUAGCUGUUUGACACACAGAUUCCCUACCCCUUGCAGCUUGAAGAACCUGAUGGUUCUGAAAUCUGACCUUUCCUUGCUGCUGCACACCAGUAUCUCAGCCCUCUCUUACGCAUACAAUUCUUUUGAGUGCUGUCUGCAUACUUUUCUGGUGGGCUGUGAAGUGACUCAUUUCUUGUACUUCACAAAUUAUGCUACAUAAUUGUGUCCUACAGCAUAGUCACUUUGGGGAGAAUGCUCUGACAAAUCCAGAUGUUAAUAAGUUGAUAAUCUUGGAAAUGGUCUUUGCUCAUACUGUUCUGCCAAAAGCUAGAGCUGGCGGACUUCAGGGAGCUGCAGCUCUAUGAUCUUGGUGCUGUGUACUCUGCUAGUUGCUGAACAAUUGGAAACAUUCUGUGUUCCAGAAAACUGCAUCUCCUUGCAAAAGAAGGAAGUUCAUUUAUUAUCUCUAGUCAAUGGGAAAUGAUCUUAUAAUCCCUGGUUGAUUCUGAAAUGCAGAGCAUGUCAGAAACAGAAGGCCUAAUCCCAAGUGGUUCUGUAUCUUGAAUUUACCUUGAAUUUAGACUGUCCCAACUAGAGGAAGGCCCAAAGUUGUUUGAUAGGUACUCGUGUUUAUCUUGAGUUUUAAAUAGUUGUUAUUUCCAGGCUUCUAGUUUUAAUUUGACCCUGAUGUUUUUUUUUUAAUUUCUUGGAUUUCCCAUCCAGUGCUCAUCUACUUUUUUUUGCUUACUGUUAUACUUUGUGUUGACAACUUUGCUAAUUAUUUUUUUUCUUACUUCAAAGAGGAACAGAAUUAAUUCCUUCCACAAAGAGAUAACAUUUUUUCUUAUUACUGUGUUGGAUUCUCUCCUAUGCUUACUGCAGCAGUGAAAAGAGAGGAGACUGGUUCUGUUCAUUUCCCAAAUCAGUGCAAUAUGGUACCCACCUUUAGAUGAUGCUUAGGAAAAAGUAAACUGCUGCCUUACUUUACUGCUGCAUCUCAAAUGUGCAAAAAUGCUACGUCUUGUGUAUUUGAGUGGCUCUGAAUUCAAAAUGGGCUGAUAAAACAAAUUAACUCAACUGAUGAGAUAGAGUAGGAGGUCACUGUGGUGGGGCUGUGGCUCUGGCUUACUUGCUCACUGCAGUUCUGACCUUUCUCCCAACAUCUGAGACCAAACUUCUGGCUGGGGAUGGAAUCAAUGCAAAAUUUUUGAGGAGGGUGUCAGUGCUGUAAGGCACACCUUGUUAUAGCAGUCCUGUGGUAUUGUGUUGGACCAGGGUGAUGGGCUUUGGCACGUAUUUCCUUCCCUUUUCCUCCCUCCAGAACUAAUGUUGCAGGUAAUUAAACUAUGUUGUCAAAUAUAGAGCUAGUUAUGCAUCUCAUUAAUCAUAUCCAGACUUCUGUGUUUUGCAGUUGAAUGUAACUUCCUUUGAGCUUGGCUGGAACAGAGACUGGAACAGAUUAUCUUUAUUUUGGAAAUCCAUGUCUGAGUUAUAUAAAAAUGAGGGAAAUAAAUCUGAGGCCAGCAUAGAAGGAUGCUGCUUAUCUAUGCAGUGUCUUCAAGUUAGUCCUUAGAAGAGUUGUAACAAAUGCAGUGCUUUGUAAGAGAGAAAAGAUGUCUCCUUUCUUUCAGUUUUGACAUCGUAAGAAAAAUUACAGUUAAUCCUGCUAGCCAAAUGUAGCUUGUCAUUUGUCUGUGCUUUUGCCCUUGUAUUUACUUAAGUACAGAAGAGAGUAAAAAGGAUUUAGGAUAAUUGAAGAGAGGAGACAAGGAAACUGAAAAUUUCUUGAGUAAAAAAUUGCAGUGUGCUUUCUUUACAUAGGAUGUGACAUUGAGAGCUGCUUUUUGUAUGAAUUGGGUACAAUUUUUUUUUUUGUUAUCAGAUAUCAGCAUAUUUUAUUUUACUUUUUAUGUCUUGCAGAGCUUCUGUUUUCAUUCUUUACUAAUCUUUCCUGAGACUACCACCCAUCAAAAUUGUAACCAAGAACAUUUAACUAUUUUACAGAGGUAAACAUGAAGGCUAAGUGGAGUUUGAGCUUAAUUGUCUUGUUUCUUAGUUACAGCAGCUGCUGGUCACUUACUGUAUGGAUUCUCAGCAAUGGAUGUGUACAGAUACCCUGCAUGUGUGCCUGAGUCAGUGGCAUGGAUGCACAGCAACUUCUGUUGAUAACGCUUUCUGUUUUGGGUUAAGUAGCUUGGUAGAGAAUGAGAUGUUUGCUUCUUGAAUAGAAAUCAUUCAUAAUAGCUUGUUCAGCAACUGAAAGAAGAUUCCAUUUUAACUUGAUUCCUUUGAAAAGCAAAACAAAUUGACAAAUAUCAGAAGUAAAUGGAGAUGUUCUUAUGGUGCUUCCAGAAGCUAGUGUGUCUUGAUGGUUCUCAAAGGGCUUGGAAUACCACUAUAGAUUAGAUGAGUUAGUCUUUGCCAAGACUACAUCCUGUGAUAAUCAGAGAAAUACAGAUUAAUGGAAAGCAGAGAGAAAAAGGAAUAGCUGCAGGUGACAUGAUGCAACUGCUGUAAUCACUCUCAGGUUGAUAUGAUAAUGCUGCUUGGGCUUAGAGGAAGGAAUGGUAUCAAAUGCAGCCCUGCUCAUUGCUUGUAGGAAUAAAAAAUGGGUGACAUUCUGUAUUAAAAUUCCUAAUUCCUGCUUUUCCCUUCUUCCAGAACACUUCAUUAUUUGAACAUCGGGAGAUUCAAAUGAUAUUUUCUUAAAAAUACAAAAAGUGUGGAUUUUUUUUUUUUUGUAGCCUUCAUAAGAAUUCUCAGAUGGGCACAAGCCAUGGAUUAGCUGCAGUCCAGCAGUGCACUUGAGCAUGGGCUGCAGCUCAGGCACCCCAAGGAGAUGAUAGCUGCUCUGUAAGAGGGGCUGCACUUCUCUGCAUAGCUCAGCAGCACCAGCUGCAGCCUGAUGGCUGGAUGAUAAUAUCUCUGAACACUGGGCAUGUGAUCCUUGUCUCAGCAAUAUCUUAAUGUCAGUUUUCAGGUAGCCUUAGGAGGUUACACAGUACACUGCCUAUUAUGAUCCAUGUUUUAAAGCAGGUUUGUAACCAUUUCCUAAAAUGCUUUCUGUGAAAGUCUUUAAACUACUGGGACUUGCAAACAGAAAUAUUGAAAUUAACUUUUUCUGGAGGAAUUGUUUAAACUUCAUGGUAUGCUGGCUCUGAGAUUAAUUUUGAGGUGAAAUUUCUCGAUCUCUCCCAUUAUUUCUAAGAGUCACCUUUUGUUAAUUAAAAAGCAAAAACAACAGAACGCAAUUUCUGUACGACUUUGUUUUAGCAGCGUGAAAUGUGGAACUAAGAGAAAAUAGUCCUUAAAGGAUUUGUACUUACAUUUUAAAUUAAAUAAUGUACUUAAAAUUAUUCAUACCAUGUUAGGAUCAGAGAGCAAAAUUCUGCGAACACAGAUUGGAUUUCUGUACUCACAUCUCAGAUACCCUCUAAUGAGGUUGUAAAGCCAGAGUAGAGAUGCAUCGCAUACCUCCAAACACAACUGGCAACAGUAAGUACUGAAAGUCAAAUAAUUAUUUUAGAUGGUGGAAACAGAAGCUGGGAGUCUGUAGGAAUUGCAGCAUGCUAUGUUUGUGUACAGGAUAUGUACAAGGCUAUGAAGUUACAGUGCAUCUCCUGAAGUGUUACAGCAGAACUUCUGCUAAAUUUUACAUGGCAAGAAUUGCAAGACCCACUCUUCCAUGCAGUCUGCAAAUUGAAAAUUAAAUUUGAGAUCUGUGAUAUCUUAAAUAAUGAUCAGAAUGAAAUGGCAGCUGCGAAGUUGAGUCUGAUACUGUUAUGAGUACUGAGUACUGUUAUGUCAGAAUGCCUUGCAAUUGACAAUAGCUUUUUGUGCGUUGAUCUGGUUUUAUACAGUAUUUAUAGACAGGUGUUUUCUUACAGGAUUGCCAGGAGUGUUGCUAUCACUCUGAAUGUUUUAGCUUGUUAAAUAAUAGAUCAUUAAGGUUGGAAAGACCAUUAAGAUCAUCUGGUCCAGCCAUCAACCCGUGCCUGUGACAUCUGUCCUUUUUUGAACACCUUUGGGGAUGGUGACUCCAUCACUUCCCUUGGCAGCCUGUUCCACUGCUGCUCUAGAUUUCUAAGAAUUUUUUCCUAAUAUCCAAUCUUAACCUCCCCUGGCACAAUUUCAGGCCAUUUCCUCUCAUCCUGAUGCUGUUACCCAGGAGCAGAGGCCUAUCCCCACCUCACCACAACCUCCUCAGGUCAGGCAGUUGUAGAGAGCGAUAAGAUCUCCCUGAGCCUCCUCUUCUCCAGACUGAAUAAUCCCAGUUAUUUCAGCUACUCCUCAUAAGGCUUGUAUGUGUAGGGAAUGUAAGGCUCCAUUCUCAUGUUACUGUUAAAGUCUCAGUGCACUGCAUUAGUAAAAUGAUUAUGAUUAUUAAUAACCAUUCAGAUAGUAACAGUACUAUAAGAAAUAGUGAACUGUCUGAAUUAGCAGUUAAGAUACUUUAUUUGAUUUGCAAAAAGAAAAGCCUCAUUGUGUGUACGCUGUUGGUUUACAGAGGAAGAGGUAACAUAAAUGAUCAUUGUGAGCCUUUUCACUUUGGAGCUUGUUGUUUAAUAUGUGCACGUUGCUUUCUUUCUGCUCAUGAAAAUGCUGUUUGCCCAAAUGAACAGCAUACACAAGCAGGAAUGUGCAAGGCAAGAGUGUAUCCUUCCAUGCCAGCAUGCUGAUUGAAUUAAAGAAUUUCAUGAAGUGUGGCAGCAGGAGUGCUGAUGAACUGCAGACAUGUUUUUAGAGCUGGCUGCUUAUGCUUGUGAACAAUAUUAAGAACUCCAAAAGCUUACCUUAUUUUGACCUCAGAAAAGUAAAUGUGACUGUCUGAAGGUUAACAGGCUAUAAUGGUUAUGUUCUGAACUGUGUAGUUGCAGUAAUUCUAUCUUAUUUGUAAGUACCUGAGGUUUUUGAUGUAAUGGGUCUACAAUGAGAAAUAAAGCUGAGUCAGCAAAUGAAUACAAUGAACUGCAUUCAAAACAAUUGCCAUCUGUUUUUUUUAUAUCCUUUCCUGUUAAAGCUGGAAGGCUGAUUUUUUUUUUUUUUUUUUUCCAAGUGCUACAACAGAAAUUAGGCAUUCCCGUGUUUUAAUGUGGCUGCUUUUAUGUUGUUCACAACUGCAGAGUUACAUAUGCUGUCUCACUUUCAUACUCCAAAGCUUCUUCAGAUUAUUUGCUGAAAUGAAAUAUUUUCAGGAUGCAGGCAAGGCCAAACCUUUUAUUCUUCCUUAGGGGUAAGCAGUCAUUACUUAAGCCUUACUAAAUGUUGUUUUAAAUAACUAUAUAUGUUGUAAUUCUAUUUGAAUGAUUUGUUAUUGAGGUCAAUUUUACCAAAGAAAAAGGGAUGAGAGAGGGAUGGCAAAGGGUAAUAGUUACUGUUUGAUGAAAAAGAAAAGAAGAACAAGUAGGGGGAAAAAAAAAAAGCUUUAAUUCACACUAUCUUUUCCCAGAUAAGGACAAGGAAAACUUCAGCUCAAAUGUGGACACCUACGAAGCAGUGGCAAGGAAGAAAUCAUGGAAUUGAGUUGGAAGAGACCUUUACAGGACAUCUGGACCAACUCCUCCGCAAUGGACGGGGACACCUACAGCUCAGAGCCCCAUCCAUCCUGAGUUUGAGCGUCUCCAGGGAAGGGGCAACCACCACCUUUCUGAGCAGCCUGUGCCGGUGCCUCACUGCUCUUACUGUAAAAAUUUUCUUCCUUAUAUCCAAUCUAAAUCUCUCUUCCUUUAGUUUGAAACCAUUUCCCCUUGACCUGUCACAGUAGACCCUGCUGAAGAGUCCCCCCCCUUCUUUCUUAUAGCCCCUGUCUGGAGUCUGACAGGCUACUCUCAGUCUCCCUACUAGGCUCUAAAAAAGCCCCAGCUUUUUCAGCCUGUUCAAGUAGUGGAGGUGUUCCAUCACUUAAAUCAUUUUUGUGGUCCUUGUCUGGGGCCACACUCCAACAGAUCUAUGGCUCUCCUGUACUGAGGACUCUAUGUCUGUACACAGUAUUCCAGGUGAGCUCUCACAAGGCGGAGCAGAGUGCCAUCUCCCUUGCCCUGCUGGCCACGCUUCUUUUCAAGAUGAUAUGGUGGGCUUUCUGGGUUGUAAGGGCAUGUUGCUAGCUUGUGUCCAGCUGACAGUUAUAAAGGCUACCACAAAAAUGACAGAAAAGGUAGGGAGUUGCAGUGAUUGAGAAGUUGAAGUCUGACGACCAGAGAGGCUUUCUUCCAUGAAUAACUAACAUACGGAGCCAAAGUGAGGCCACAAAUUGUAGAAACAAUUUGCUUUGCCAAUGAUCCUUAAAGGGGGGGAAGUUGUUCUGGCCCAUCUAAAUAGAACUCCUUUUAUGCCUAAUAAAAUACGAAUUUCAAGAUGAAACUUCAGUGUUAAAAGAUAUUUAAUUUAUUUAUACUUAUUUGACUAUUUUCUCAUGAAUUAUGGAGAUGUCUCAAAGCUUCCCCUUCACAAACCUAAGCAGAAGUGACAAAACAGUGGUUCAAUUUUGAUUGCAUACAAAUUGUAGAGGAACUUAUCUUUGCUAUUGGUGUGUGUGUGUGUGUGUGUGCGCGUGCAUAUAAUUAUUUGGCACUAUGUGAUGACUGUUCAGCCAGUUUUUACUGCAAACAAGGAUUGUAUUUUGUCACCAAGGCGAUUUCCUUCACAGCAGUCCCAGGUCCAGCUUAUGACCAUAAAUCACUGAUGUGUAACCAAACCACAGAAUUUAGAGAAUAGAGGCUUUUUUUUCCCCCCAGAUUUCAAGAGCUCUCCUUGUUUCUUACGAGUUCCAGGACCUGUGGUUGAAAAUGAUGGCCAUCACUUUCUCUUUGAUUUCAUCUUUAUGACAAUAUCUGAUAGGGGUGGGGCUCCAAAUUAAGUGUGUGAUGGCUUGUGCUGUGGCUAAUUAUCUUUCCCAUUUGUUACCUAGUAGAAUUUUGUAACUCUGGGAUUUAAAGUUUGUCAGUCUUCACUAUCUUUCCUCCUGAACUUGGACAUUUCUGCCAAGGCCAACAAUGAAACGAGCACAUUAAAAUAAUAAAUCUCCAGUGAACAGACUAAGUUAUUUACUUUGGAUGAACAAGACUACAUGUAAAACUGGUGAGUGUUUGGGGUUGAUUGGUUACUGGAGGUGGGAGUGCUCUAAGAGUCAAAUGCUUCUACAACAAGCUUUAGUUGUGGGAACAUUUGAGUCUGAAACGUGAAAGAAUGCAGACCUUUCAAAAUAUGGUAUGUGAGAAAAAUGUAUGAUUUAGUGUUUCCAUUUCCAUAGAGGAAAUAGCAGUACUUUGUUUCAACCAAAUGAUAAAUUUCCUUUAGUCAUAUGAUGAGGGAAAUAAAUACCCUCUUAUUUCUCUCAUAGCAGCUAAGAGAAAAGUUUAGGUAUCUUAAAAAUAACCUGCUAAUAGAAGGACUUGGUUAUAUUAGUCAUUAAUCAGAGGAUUACGUUUUCCCUCUUUUUAGAGAAGACUGCUCUAAAAAAUAAAUAGAACUGUUAAUCAGAACUUGAGAUGGGAUUCUGCGGUCAUUUGCACUGUCAGACCAGUUGUAAGCAUUACUGCUUCUUGGAAAAGCUAUGGUUGUUUGUUGAAUAACAAUAAUAGUAAUAAUAGGAUUGCAGUGCUUUGGUAAGACUGUGUUUUGGUAUAUGAUCUUUGGUAGCACAUUUUCUGCAAUGAAUGUUCUUCAGUAUGUCAUACAGCUUCCAACUGUGUAUUGUAGGGAAACAUGGACAGAACAACCUCUAUGCUGCAUCUGGGUAUUUCUUAGAGUUCUAAGUGUGGGAUUGAAAACUGAUAGAACUAGGAAGGGCUUUUGUGUGUCUUGGGAAAUAGUGUUGAAACAUAACUAGGUGCAAUAAUUACAUGUGGCUAAACAUCAAUAAUAAUCAUUGCUACCUUUAUGCCUCUCUUGUUUAUUUUUUUGCUACUUAAUCCUAAGAACAGGAAGGUUUUCGGAAACUGCAUUAGAUGUCAGAACUUAGUAGGGAAGAAGUGAACUGAAUUUGUAGGUUACUGAGCUACCUGAUGCCUAAGAUGGUUUAAUCUUAGUGUACUGCGAGGAGUGGGAUCUGUAGUGCUGAUUUCCUCAGAAAUGGAAGUAGUUGUUUGAGAGCUGGAAGAAGAUUCAUGCUUGUUGUGACUGUCUGGAAUGAACAUGGCUGGCUUCUGGCAGCUUUCUCUUAUGGUAUUGCACAAUGGAAUUCAGUUUGAGUUUGGGAGACGUAAUUAUGUGAUGUUGAAGCAGUUGUACAGUUGUACUAUUUCCAGUGACACAAUUUAAAACCUGCUUCCACAAAAUUAUACAUCAGUGGGAUGAUCAUUGCAAUUAAAGUCAAGAAUGCCCUUGUAUGUGUUGUGGCAUAGUCAGAAUUCUAUUUGAUGGAGUCUGGCAGAGGCGUGUGGUCUUGAAUUAGUAUCCUUUCAUAACAGAUUUGUGGCAGGUCUCUUAAAUGUGCAAAAAAACAUGAGGUGUGUUAUUGAAAUUUAAACCUUUAUUGCAUUUAUAAAUAAGCAUUCUUCAGUAAUAAUAUUUUUAAAAGUAUGCAGUUCAACAAGCUUUGAGCUACUGUAUAAAUCUCUUCAUAAGCUGCUUCUUGGUCUACUUCUCAUUAUGGUACCAUAAUUGUGUGGCCUGGUUUGCUUCCAGUAAAUUGCCUCUCUGGCCCAGUGGCAGCCCUACCACCGUCUCUUAUUCAACCUCUCUUCACAGGAAGAGUCCGAAAAAGCGUAGUAAGGGGAGAGAUGACCAGUGGCUACCGUACACUCAUGGGGAACUCAGCUGCCCAGAUGGGUUGUGUAGUCCUGCAGAGGAAACUCCUGUGCCUUGAAGAGAAUGUAUACCAACUACCCCUUUGGUAGCUCUAUUAAAAGAUGUCUUUUUCACGUGCACGCAGUUAUAUUUUAACCCUCCAGUCUAUCUUUGAAGCUGUUAGUGCUCUGGAGAAACAUUAAAUGUUGAAGGCUGGCCUGCUGGUUUUGGCUGAAAUAGAGAGAAAUAUGCAACGCUCUGAGAAAUUCCAGGACUCCCACUAGGUCAAAAAUUUUCUCUCAACUGUAGCAUUUCAUCAAGUUCCCCUGGUAACAUGUCUCAAUGUAUCACAAUCAUGAUUGCUUGGAAAUCCACCAGCUCUGCAAUGAGCUGAGAAUAUUUAUUGCAAGUGCUAGAUGGCAUUCUCUUAGUAGAGAUCUGGUUAGUUAUUUCCAUACAUCCCAGUUUCAGAGUGAAUGUUUCAUUUAUCUUACUGUAUGUUACAUGCUUUGGAUUAGACAAAUUCAGUUAUGAGUAUGUAUCUGCUAUAUAUAUAUAUAUAUAUAUAUAUGUAAUUAGUUAUUAUUAAUUAACCAGUCUGAACAUUUAAAUCCAAGCUAAAUCACAAGUUAACAAUACUUUGAGAAGCUCUUGGCGUAAUUCGAAACACUGUGGAGAUCUUCAAAACCCCUGUGUUAGUCACCUUGUUAUAACCAGACUAAUUGGGAACUCUGUGAUACCGGCUUGUUUCAGCACAUCUAAUUUUUACAAGACUCACUUCAAGCUGAUCUUUUUAUGGAAUGUGAUUUUUUUUAUUUUCUUUUCCCAGGUAAAAAUAAAGAAAGCUUUUCUUGAGGUUUGUGGUGCACCUGUUCUCUGCUCUAAAGCUGGCUGACAGCAUAGCUGAAAUCUCACAGCAGACAUUUCCUGGCUUUGGUACAGUGUUUUCGAGCAAGCUGCUAAAAGUGGUCUAGCAAGUUGUUAUUUCAGGAAUCAUUUUCAACUGAAGGAACAAUGUGAUUUGCAUAAAGAACCAAGAAACUCUUCUUUUGUUGCUCUCUGGUCUAAAGAUGUCAUUAAUAUAGUAAGUCUGUAGUAAGAUGAGCUGGUUAUUUCCUCUGGAGUCAGAGUAUGUUUAGUAUUUUUUGACUCUGUGAUGUGCUGAGUCUCCUAGACCCUUGUUCUAGGAUGCAUGUUUCAAGACCAUUUCAUGAGUCUUCACGGUGACCUGAUGUACUGUUUCUUCAUGAGAAACUUGGGAAUCAGAGGUGGCAUAUUUCAUAUUGUGGGCCUCCCAGCAUCGUCUCCAGUGGUCCCAUAUGGUAAAGGGCUAUAUCAGUUUUCUUUUCAAUACCCUACCUGUUCUGUUCUCAUAGAAGCACUCACUAUAGUGUUCAGAGAUGGUUUUUGACUUCAUGGCUGCUUAAAAAAUAUAAAAGGUCCUAAACGUAGCUAAUAGGACAUCAAUAAACAUUAACUGGGACCUAAUGUUUGGGCAGCUUGGGCCUGUUUAGUUCCUGUUAAGUCAUGUGUGAGGCACCGUAGUGAUGUUGUGGAACUCAUGCAGAGGGAGCUGCCAGAAGUUGUGCCAUGAGGAUCUGUGUGACAAGGAGCAUCCUGCUGGGCUCAUGGCUCUGUCCAGUGCUAUAACCACUAGGGGACACUGCCUCAUUGUUACUGGGGAAAUUAAUCAUUACAUGUUUAAUGCCAAAUUGCAGAGGUUUUCCUCCUGCUGGCUUAAGUUAAUCUCAGAUACUAUCAGGUACUAUUUAUUUAUUUGUUUUGUGCCCUAACUAUUUACAGUGCUGCCAUAUGCUCAGGUUCUACUUUAAGAGCUGAAUCGAUGCCCAGAGAAAGGCAGCUCUGCUGCUCUUCCCCAGGUGAAAACAAAUGCCUUGUCUUAUUGCUCUGUGUCUCUGAAAAAGUGUCUUUGGGGGCACAGCUUUGCUUCCUUUGGGAAGGAAGAAGGUACAAUUUUUGUUCUUCUGUCUUCAUCGCAGACAACUUUAACAGCUUCCAAACUAGGCUGUCUGGCAAAUAGUGUUUGGUUUUUGGUUUUUUUUUUUCUGAAUUUGAGCCAAAUGGGAAUACAGAGACAUUUCAGGGAAAACUGACAGAAUGUGCUGCUCCUUUCAUUGACUCCAGUAAUUAUAAACUGAUCCCAUGGUAGCAGCAGGACUGCAUCUAGAUUUUAAACACCAUGAUUACGUUCAAAUAACUGCUCCAACAAUGAGGAAUAUCUCAAAAAGUAGUAAAUAUUCUUGUGUUCAAUCCUACAGCUCAUUCCUGUUGUACCAAGAACUUACCGAGUUUGUACGUCUUUCCUCGUGAAUCAGAUAAAUGCAUCUCCUCCACGAGCUGCCUAUUUUCUUGUAUACUGUGCAUCGCUUCCCCUGCAGAUUGGAAAGAGGACUGUGAUCCUCUUGUAUGUCUAACUGAGGGUUGCCCGUGUGCUGCCAGGGAGCAAACCGGAUCCAUGCAGUGUGUGAGUGAAAGCCAGGUAUGCUAUGCUAUACGUGGCAAGAUGUUAUAAAGCAAUUUUUAAUUAUCUUGUCAUUUAGAAGCAGAAUAUUUUUAUAUUGUACUCACUAUUGAAAUCAUGGGAUGUCUUUUUCAACUGCGGUGCUGUUACCAGCCAUUUCAUAGAAUAGAAUGGCUUGGGUUGGAAGAGACCUCAGGAUCAUGAAGUUCCAACUCCCCUGCCACAGGUGGGAUUGCUAGUCAUUAGAUCAACACUAGAUCAGAUUGCCCAGGGCAGUGUCCAACCUGGCCUUGAACACCUCCAGGGAUGGGGUAUCCACAACCUCUAUGGGCAGCCUGUUAAGCACCUCAUCACUCUCAGUAAAGAUCUUGCCACUAACAUCCAAUCUAAAUCUCCCUUCCUGUAGUUUAAAACUAUUCCCCCUUGUCCGAUCUCUAUCUACCAGCAUAAAAAAUUGACUUCCCUCCUGUUUAUAAACUCUCUUUAAAAAUUGUAAGGCUGCAAUGAGGUCUUCCCGCAGCCUUCCCUUCUUCAGGCUGAACAGUCCCAGCUCCUUUGACCUAUCU